rnacentral:rRNA from 1 species
AUGGAUCCCCUCUCCCUCCUCGUCCCCCGCGCGCGCCCUUCGCUCCCGCUCCCGCUCCGCGCCGCCGCCCCGGCCACCAGCAGCGCCAGAGCGGCGGCACCGGCCCCGCGACGGUGGCGGCAGCGCGCGCGGCUGCCGUCGCCGGUCUCGGCCGUGGCGGCGGAGGCGCCCUCGGCGCCGUCGCCGUCCGGCGGGGAGGAGAAGGAGAAGGAGAAGGAGGAGGGGCAGUUCGACUGGCUGGACCAGUGGUACCCGCUGGCCCCCGUGUGCGACCUGGACCCCGGCGCGCCGCACGGCAAGACGGUGCUGGGCCUCCGCGUGGUGGCCUGGUACGACCGCGCCGUGGACGAGUGGCGCGUGUUCGACGACGCCUGCCCGCACCGCCUGGCGCCGCUCUCCGAGGGCCGCAUCGACGACAAGGGCCGCCUCCAGUGCGUCUACCACGGCUGGUGCUUCGACGGCCGCGGCUCCUGCCAGUUCAUCCCACAGGCCCCCGCCCUCGGCCCACCUGUGCACAAGAACAGCAAGGCGUGCGUGGCGUCGUACCCGAGCGUGGUGCAGAACAACAUCCUGUGGUUCUACCCGAGGGCCGACGAGGAGCACCAAGACAUUCUGCAGAGGAAGCGCCCGCCAUUCAUCCCGGAGAUCGACGACCCCUCCUUCGUCACCGUCUACGGCGUCAGGGACCUCCCCUACGGCUACGAUGUGCUGGUGGAGAACCUCAUGGACCCUGCCCACGUCCCCUACGCGCACAAGGGGCUGAUGGGCAAACUUCGCAAGAAGGAAGACCCCGGAAGAGUUGAGUUCGACGUCGAAGGCGGCGGGCCAGUGAAGAUGAAGAUAGCGGAGGCGGAUAUCGCCGGGUUCCUGUCGGAGCAGGACAAUAGCGGAUACUUCCGGUACGUCGCGCCGUGCACCUUCUACGGCUCGCCCCUCCCAAAAGAGGAAAAGGGACAGGAGAAGAAGAAGAAGAAGAAGCCGCCUCAGUUCAUGCUGGUGUUCAUGUGCGUCCCGGUGUCUCCAGGGAAAAGCAGGGUGAUCUGGGCGUUCCCGAGGAACGUCGGCGUCUGGCUCGACAAGGUCAUACCGCGGUGGUACUACCACAUCGGCCAGAACGCCAUCCUGGACUCAGACAUCUACCUCCUCCACAUCGAGGAGCGCAACUUCGCCGCGGCGGGCAUCGAAAACUGGCAGAAAGCCGUGUAUGUGCCGACGUCGUCGGACAACAUGGUGAUUGCCUUCAGGAACUGGUUCAGAAAACACUGCAAGAGUCAGGUCGGCUGGGCCGCCCCGACGGUCGGUCAGCUACCAGAGACUCCAACCAAAGACAAGCUCAUGGAGAGGUACUGGUCGCACGUCGCGCAGUGCAGGAGCUGCAGCGCGGCGCUGAAGGGCAUGAAGGCGCUGGAGGUUGCCCUGCAGAUUGCGUCGGUGGCAGUGGUCGGGUUCCUCGCCGUCGCCAAGGGGACACUGGUGACAUCGGUGGUGCAGAGAGCCGCCGUUGUGUCCUUGGCUGUGCUGUGCUUCGCCGCGUCCCGUUGGCUGGCGAGCUUCAUCGAGAAGAACUUCUAUUUCCAGGAUUACGUCCAUGCCUACAAGUGA